GGGCUCACUUUGGUGACACAUAUACUAAAAUUGGGGCAAUACAGAAAAAAUUAACAUGGCCUCUGCACAAAUGAUACACAAAUUCAUGAAGAAUUCCAUAUUUUU
ensembl:snRNA U6 U6 spliceosomal RNA